GGUUAAUGCUAGCGGUGCGCCUAACACAUGCAAGUCGAACGGUAACAGGUUAAGCUGACGAGUGGCGAACGGGUGAGUAAUGCAUCGGAACGUGCCCGAUCGUGGGGGAUAACGCAGCGAAAGCUGCGCUAAUACCGCAUACGAUCUGAGGAUGAAAGCGGGGGACCGUAAGGCCUCGCGCGAUCGGAGCGGCCGAUGUCAGAUUAGGUAGUUGGUGAGGUAAAGGCUCAACAAGCCAACGAUCUGUAGCUGGUCUGAGAGGACGACCAGCCACACGGGGACUGAGACACGGCCCAGACUCCUACGGGAGGCAGCAGUGGGGAAUUUUGGACAAUGGGCGAGAGCCUGAUCCAGCAAUGCCGCGUGCAGGAAGAAGGCCUUCGGGUUGUAAACUGCUUUUGUACGGAGCGAAAAGGCUCUCUCUAAUACAGGGGGCUCAUGACGGUACCGUAAGAAUAAGCACCGGCUAACUACGUGCCAGCAGCCGCCGUAA
rnacentral:rRNA from 1 species